rnacentral:rRNA from 1 species
AUUGAACGCUGGCGGAAUGCUUUACACAUGCAAGUCGAACGGCAGCACGGGUGCUUGCACCUGGUGGCGAGUGGCGAACGGGUGAGUAAUGCACCGGAACGUAUCCAAUAAUGGGGGAUAACGCACCGAAAGGUGUGCUAAUACCGCAUACGCCCUGAGGGGGAAAGCGGGGGAUCGUAAGACCUCGCGUUAAUGGAGCGGCCGAUGCCGGAUUAACUAGUUGGUGAGGUAAAGGCUCACCAAGGCGACGAUCCGUAGCUGGUCUGAGAGGACGACCAGCCACACUGGAACUGAGACACGGUCCAGACUCCUACGGGAGGCAGCAGUGGGGAAUUUUGGACAAUGGGCGCAAGCCUGAUCCAGCCAUUCCGCGUGAGUGAAGAAGGCC